rnacentral:rRNA from 1 species
UACGUAGGGGGCAAGCGUUGUCCGGAUUUAUUGGGCGUAAAGAGCUCGUAGGCGGUUUGGUAAGUCGGAUGUGAAAUCUCCAGGCUCAACCUGGAGGGGUCAUUCGAUACUGCCAUGACUAGAGUUCGGUAGGGGAGUGUGGAAUUCCUGGUGGAGCGGUGAAAUGCGCAGAGAUCAGGAGGAACACCCGUAGCGAAGGCGGCACCUCUGGGCCGAUACUGACGCUGAGGAGCGAAGGCGUGGGGAGCGAACAGG